UACAGAGGGUGCGAGCGUUGUCCGGAAUCACUGGGCGUAAAGGGCGCGUAGGUGGUGGCUUAAGCGUGCGGUGAAAGCUCGGAGCUCAACUCCGAGUCGGCCGUGCGAACUGGGCUCACUGGAGCAUAGUAGAGGCAGGUGGAAUUCCGGGUGUAGCGGUGGAAUGCGUAGAGAUCCGGAAGAACACCGGUGGCGAAGGCGGCCUGCUGGGCUAUGGCUGACACUGAGGCGCGGCAGCGUGGGGAGCAAACAGG
rnacentral:rRNA from 1 species